rnacentral:ncRNA from 1 species
CCGGCUCCGGUUCACGUCCUACGCAUCCGCGCGGGGACGACCCGGCGGCA